GGGGCCAUAGCUCAGUUGGUAGAGCGCCUGCUUUGCAAGCAGGAUGUCGUCGGUUCAAAUCCGUCUGGCUCCA
rfam:Caulobacter henricii strain CB4, complete genome.